CCAUGCCGCGUGUGUGAAGAAGGCCUUCGGGUUGUAAAGCACUUUCAGUCGUGAGGAAGGUGGUGUAGUUAAUAGCUGCAUUACUUGACGUUAGCGACAGAAGAAGCACCGGCUAACUCCGUGCCAGCAGCCGCGGUAAUACGGAGGGUGCGAGCGUUAAUCGGAAUUACUGGGCGUAAAGCGCAUGCAGGUGGUUUGUUAAGUCAGAUGUGAAAGCCCGGGGCUCAACCUCGGAAUAGCAUUUGAAACUGGCAGACUAGAGUACUGUAGAGGGGGGUAGAAU
rnacentral:rRNA from 1 species